AUGAUAUAUGGUAUUUUAUUAAAUUAUUGAAAUGAGACAGAAUUUCAAUGAACAAUAAUAACUAAUGCAUUCUGUUUUACAUGAUCAUUAUUCAUGACUCUCCAUCUUGGAUAAUGGAUGAUCAGAUAUCCACUCAGGAUCAGAGUAUUUACAACGUGAGACCCAGGAGGACAAGCUGAAGAGGGAGGCAUCAGCUGGUGAGCUUGAGUUGAAGAUGUUUAAAGAGAUGAUGAAAGAACUAGAGGAGAAAGACACACAACUGGAUGAUAUGACCCAGGAAGUGAGAGAGAAAGAGAGACUCCUGGAUGAGAAGAACCAGAAUAAUGGAACAGAAGGACAAACUA